rnacentral:other from 1 species
ACUUCCACUAAUGCACCGAGGGCACAUACAUCUUCAACGGCACUUGGAAUUCCGGAGAAUUGCCUUUGUGAAAAACUGGCAAUAAUUUCUUUCAGUCCCAUGUCUUAGUUUUCCAUGGGAACAUCACGAAACC